GUUGUGGAACUUUGCAGUGUUUCUGUGGGUUGGCUGUAUGAAUUUGCAACAGACAUGUUAUCAAUUCAAAUCGUUACAUGUCCUGUAGGUUAUGUUUGUAUUCUCUGUCUGAAAGUGUUUUAAAUGU